UGGGGAAUAUUGGACAAUGGGGGCAACCCUGAUCCAGCAAUGCCGCGUGUGUGAAGAAGGUCUUCGGAUUGUAAAGCACUUUCGACGGGGACGAUGAUGACGGUACCCGUAGAAGAAGCCCCGGCUAACUUCGUGCCAGCAGCCGCGGUAAUACGAAGGGGGCUAGCGUUGCUCGGAAUGACUGGGCGUAAAGGGCGUGUAGGCGGUUUACACAGUCAGAUGUGAAAUCCCCGGGCUUAACCUGGGAGCUGCAUUUGAUACGUGUAUGACUAGAGGUGUGAGAGAG
rnacentral:rRNA from 1 species